rnacentral:rRNA from 1 species
GGACAGAAAGACCCUAUGAAGCUUUACUGUAACUUGAAAUUGAAAUUGGACUUUAUUUGCGCAGUAUAGGUGGGAGGCGUUGAGAAUAUUCUUGCGGGAAUAUUGGAGCCAUCAGUGAGAUACCACUCUUGUAAUGUUAGAUUUCUAACUUUGAAUCAUUAUCUGGUCAAAGAACAGUUUCAGGCGGGCAGUUUGACUGGGGCGGUCGCCUCCCAAACGGUAACGGAGGCGUACAAAGGUUUCCUCUGAACGGGUAGAAAUCGUAUCUAGAGUGUAAAGGCAUAAGGAAGCUUGACUGUGAGACCUACAAGUCGAGCAGGGACGAAAGUCGGUCUUAGUGAUCUGACGGUGCUGAGUGGAAAGGCCGUCACUCAACGGAAAAAGUUACUCUAGGGAUAACAGGCUGA